UCGGGAACUGUGAGACAGGUGCUGCAUGGCUGUCGUCAGCUCGUGUUGUGAAAUGUUGGGUUAAGUCCCGCAACGAGCGCAACCCUUAUCCUUUGUUGCCAGCGAUUAGGUCGGGAACUCAAAGGAGACUGCCAGUGAUAAACUGGAGGAAGGUGGGGAUGACGUCAAGUCAUCAUGGCCCUUACGACCAGGGCUACACACGUGCUACAAUGGCGCAUACAAAGAGAAGCGACCUCGCGAGAGCAAGCGGACCUCAUAAAGUGCGUCGUAGUCCGGAUUGGAGUCUGCAACUCGACUCCAUGAAGUCGGAAUCGCUAGUAAUCGUGGAUCAGAAUGCCACGGUGAAUACGUUCCCGGGCCUUGUACACACCGCCCGUCACACCAUGGGAGUGGGUUGCAAAAGAAGUAGGUAGCUUAACCUUCGGGAGGGCGCUUACCACUUUGUGAUUCAUGACUGGGGUGAAGUCGUAACAAGGUAACCGUAGGGGAACCUGCGGUUGGAUCACCUCCUUACCUUA
rnacentral:rRNA from 1 species